GCGCCGGUGGUGUAAAGAGUAACAUCGCUGCUCGGAAAGCAGAAGGUGCCGGUUCGAGUCCCGCCUGGUGCA
rfam:Heligmosomoides polygyrus genome assembly, scaffold: HPBE_scaffold0000090